rnacentral:tRNA from 1 species
CCCUGUGUGGCAUAAACAGUUAAGCACUUGGCUGCUAACUGAAAGGUUGGUGGUUCGAGUCUACCCAAAGGUA